rnacentral:rRNA from 1 species
UCCACGCCCUAAACGAUGAACACUAGUCGUCGGGAUGCUAGUCAUCUCGGUGAUGCACUUAACAGAUUAAGUGUUCCGCCUGGGGAGUACGGUCGCAAGAUUAAAACUCAAAGAAAUUGACGGGGGCCCGCACAAGCGGUGGAGCAUGUGGUUUAAUUCGACGCAACGCGAAGAACCUUACCCAGACUUGACAUCCUGUGGAUCUGUAAGAGAUUAUAGAGUGCCC